GAAAAGCUGACCCUUAGGGCAUGAGAGCAGGAGAACUGGCCCUAACUUUUACUAGCUACAGCACUCCGGAGAGCAGGCCCUACACACUUUGCCUUGGCAGCACAGUAGAGCUGACCCUGGUGGUGUGGAUGGGGGCCAGCUGGCCGGAGGGCAUGAGUAUGGGAAACCUGGCCCUGCCACUUGUCUGCCCUGCAGUGACAUGGGAGAGGGAGUGAUGCCACCUACUUUUUCCUCUUGCCACCUACAAUAGGAAGGAGAGCUGGUCCUGAGGUCAGCAGAGAGAGCCGUCCUGCACUUCACAUGGACAGUACAGUAAAGCUGGCCCUGGAUGUGAGGGUUGCAGAUCUGAGAAUCUUUAAUAAUACUGGUGAAGUAACUGCUUGGGAGAAAAAGAGAAAAAUAAGAAGUCACUUCAAAGACUGAUGUGACACCAUAUGUCUCCAAUCCCGACAUUCAACAUAUGAAGGAAAAGGAACUCAAAGUUCAAGUUCAUCCUUGGUUACAUAGCUGAGCGCUGCAGCAGGCUCCCGCAGCGUCCCGAGGUUUUUCUUCUCACGUCUUCGACGGCCUUGCAUUCUCGGCGUUCCUCACAGAAUGCCCCUCCAUAUCCAGGCCUCCACGUUGGGCGACAGUUUGACCCGACCCACAGGACCGUGGAACCUGGAGGGGGAUGUGGGAAUGGGAUGGAACAGGAGACGCGAAGAAUGGAGACAAGACAGAAUUCUGAUCAAGUCUCGAUUUAUUGUGCUUUAGGUUACAGCUUAUAGAGAGUAAGAAUGGGCAACUCGGGGUGAGGGGGGAACUAGUUUCAGUGAAAAUCGCAAAGCAGGGUAUUCUCAAGGAAAUUCUAAAAAGCGGGAGGACAGUUCUCAGGUAAGUGGGAGGCAAGUUCUCAUACACAUACCUUGCCAAAUCUAAACGGUUGAACAAACCUCUACAAAGCUCAAAGCAGCACCUGCGGUCCAGGGAUGGAAACUCACUGUACCAUGCAAGGCACAAUAUGCUUCAUAGAUUCCAAGCAGGCAAGAGUCAAACAGCCGUUCUAUGGCUCCACACAAUGUACCAGAGCAAAUGGAAUGUGUUAUGUUAAGAAUUUUGAUUUUUCUGUUUCCUGGUUGUGGAUGCAGUAUGACCAGCUCUUUCUUGCUUUUUCUGCAGUGAACUGUAAACCAACAUGAACCUUUAGAAAGUAUCUUGACAUGCUGGAGAGAUUUCUCAGUUGUUAAGACCACUUGUUCUUACAGCAGACAUUAAUUCAAUUCCCAGCACCCCCAUGGGGGCUCACAACCUUAUGUGAUUGCAGUUCUAGGGGAUCUGACACCCUUGGUGGGUACCAGGUACACAAGUGGUACACAUACAUAGGUGCAGGCAAAACAUCCAAACACAUAAAAUGAACACACUUUGGAGGUUUGACUACAAUCAAUGGAAAAUUACUGGAAGAUUUUUAGACAGUGGAGUAAUAAAUAAUAUUUGCAUUUUAAUUAUUAUUCAAAAUAUCAUACAUAUAUAUUUUUAAUUUUAUCUGUUUCCCACUACCCUAAGCCUUUUUCCAACUUCAUGGUUUCUUUUGUCAUUAUUAUUAUUAUUAACCCCUUUGCCUCAGUUUGUGCUGAUCAUAUGAGUCUGGGCAUGAGGCCUUCCACUGGAGCAUGAGAAACCAUUAAUAACAGAUGUAAUCUAUGCCUUCUGGAUUUUUUUUUUUUUUUUUGCUUUUUUUAAAGACAAGGUCUCCUGUAGUUCCAGACUGACGAGAAACCAGCUCUGUAACUGAAUUCCAGAUCCCCUUGCCUCUGUUAAGUGCUGGGAUUACAGGUGUGAGCUACUAAACUUGGUUCUAAGAAAGUUUUAACCUUUCAAGAAAUAUGUAGACUUACUUGAAGUCCACUUAUCCUUAUUUCCCCUUAUAUACCAUUUAGAGAGAUCAGUUUAGCAGAGAUAAAGAGGUUGUAGUGGUGAAAAAGGAAAUAGUGGACAUUUCACUCAUUGAGAGAAGAGACUACAGGAAAUGAUUAAGGUAGAAGUGGGGUUUAAGACUAGAGGCAAUAUUAGAAAUAUAAAGAAGUUCUGAGAGAGAAAUUUGGAGUGAGCUAGAAGGGGGAGAAGCAUAGAAAAGGAAGUAGGAGCUGGGAAGCUAUGCCUCUCAGGACCAGGAUGUCCUACCCAAAUUCUCUCCUUUGCUCAGCAUUGGUUGGUUGUUUUUAUUGACAACACAAAGAACAAAUGGUGGCAUGUUUACACAAACUUGAGACAGGUGAUACUUAGAAGUAUCACAGUGCAGUGUCUGUAUUGAAACCACAUAAUGGGGGAGAAAUAUCAGCGUUUGAAUGAACAAGGUUAAAUUGUAUACAUUCCAUAAGAAAAUUAUACUCAGGAAGCUGAGGCAGGAAGUUUUUGUGUUCAAGAUAACAAUGUUACAUUGUUGUGAGCAAUGUAACAAGAACCUGUCUCAAGAUAAAUUUAAGAGGCAGUGGAUGUAGCUCAGUGGUACAUCAAAUACCUUGCAUGAACAUAGCCCCAGUUUAAAUCACUAGUUUAAAUCACUAGUGCUGUAAAAUAUAAAGAGAAGAAAGAGGUAAGUUGUGAAAUAAUGUGCCAAUGAGAAUGGAAACAAACAUGCCUAGAAGGGAAGAUAAUAGAACUACUCAAGUUGAAUGGACCACAUGCAGUUUCACAUUCAGCUAUCCUCAGUUCCUCAGACCCAGUAACCCCUGAAGUUAUUUAGUUCCUCAUCCAAAUUAAGAAACAUAUGCAAAUACCUAAAUUUAGAAAUACUUAAAGGGUAACUCACAAUGGUCUAUAAACUUUUAACAGGAAAAAAAUAAUAAACAUGUGUUGAUGAUUA